ACGGGAGGCAGCAGUGGGGGAUAUUGCACAAUGGGGGAAACCCUGAUGCAGCGACGCCGCGUGAGUGGUGAAGUAUUUCGGUAUGUAAAGCUCUAUCAGCAGGAAAGAUAAUGACGGUACCUGACUAAGAAGCACCGGCUAAAUACGUGCCAGCAGCCGCGGUAAUACGUAUGGUGCAAGCGUUAUCCGGAUUUACUGGGUGUAAAGGGAGCGCAGACGGCAUGGCAAGCCAGAUGUGAAAGGCAGGGGCUCAACUGCUGGACUGCAUUUGGAACUGUCAAGCUAGAGUAUCGGAGAGGUAAGUGGAAUUCCUAGUGUAGCGGUGAAAUGCGUAGAUAUUAGGAGGAACACCAGUGGCGAAGGCGGCUUACUGGACGAUAACUGACGUUGAGGCUCGAAAGCGUGGGGAGCAAACAGGAUUAGAUACCCUGGUA
rnacentral:rRNA from 1 species